CAAUGGGGGAAACCCUGAAUGCAGCGACGCCGCGUGGAGGAAGAAGGUCUUCGGCAUUGUAAACUCCUGUUGUUGAGGAAGAUAAUGACGGUACUCAACAAGGAAGUGNNCGCUAACUACGUGCCAGCAGCCGCGGUAAAACGUAGGUCACAAGCGUUGUCCGGAAUUACUGGGUGUAAAGGGAGCGCAGGCGGGAAGACAAGUUGGAAGUGAAAUCUAUGGGCUCAACCCAUAAACUGCUUUCAAAACUGUUUUUCUUGAGUAGUGCAGAGGUAGGCGGAAUUCCCGGUGUAGCGGUGGAAUGCGUAGANAUCGGGAGGAACACCAGUGGCGAAGGCGGCCUACUGGGCACCAACUGACNCUGAGGCUCGAAAGUGUGGGUAGCAAACAGGAUUAGAUACCCUGGUAGUCCAAGGGCGAAUUC
rnacentral:rRNA from 1 species